CCUACGUGUGGCUGCAGUGGGGAAUAUUGGACAAUGGGCGAAAGCCUGAUCCAGCCAUGCCGCGUGUGUGAAGAAGGCCUUCGGGUUGUAAAGCACUUUCAGUGGGGAAGAAAGCCUUGGGGCUAAUACCCUCGAGGAAGGACAUCACCCACAGAAGAAGCACCGGCUAACUCCGUGCCAGCAGCCGCGGUAAUACGGAGGGUGCGAGCGUUAAUCGGAAUUACUGGGCGUAAAGCGCGCGUAGGUGGUCUGAUAAGCCGGUUGUGAAAGCCCCGGGCUCAACCUGGGAACGGCAUCCGGAACUGUCAGGCUAGAGUGCAGGAGAGGAAGGUAGAAUUCCCGGUGUAGCGGUGAAAUGCGUAGAGAUCGGGAGGAAUACCAGUGGCGAAGGCGGCCUUCUGGACUGACACUGACGCUGAGGUGCGAAAGCGUGGGUAGCAAACAGGAUUAGAUACCCCUGUAGUC
rnacentral:rRNA from 1 species